AUCUCCGUGGCGCAAUGGAUUAGCGCUUUGGACUUCUAAUUCAAAGGUUGUGGGUUCGAGAUGUGGUUCCCAUCGGAGAUG